rnacentral:rRNA from 1 species
CAAUUAGAGGGAGUUAUAAAUAAUUUAAUUAGCUGAACUUCUCUGGAAAGAGAGACCAAAGACGGUGAUAGUCCGGUAAGUGAAAAUUAAAUUAUGCUCCUUGUUAUCUUUCUUGAGUACUGUCGAGUCAAGACAAUUCGGCAGGAAUCUGGCGGGACUACCCGCUAAGGCUAAAUACAAUCUGGUCACCGAUAGUGAACUAGUACCGUGAGGGAAAGGUGAAAAGUAGUCCGGUGAGGACGGUGAAAUAGAACCUGAAACCAUUAUGCCUACAAGGAGUCAGAGCUGAUAUUUAUAUCAGUGAUGGCGUGCUUUUUGCAGAACGAGCCAACGAGUCUCUUUUAUCAAUUUGUCUAAGCGCUUACGGCGUGGAGGCAUAGGGAAACCAAGUCUUAAUAGGGCGACUAUGAUUGAUGGAAGAGGACCCGAAGCCAGACGAGCUUGCCAUGACCAGGGUGAAACUUUCAGAAAUGAAAGUGGAAGUCCGAACCCGUUUGUCGUGCAAUUCAUUGGGAUGAGUUGUGGCAAGGAGUGAAAAGCUAAUCGAGUUUGGUAAUAGCUGGUUCUUCCCGAAAUAGUUUUAGGACUAGCCUCUCUGAUUAGUAUUUUGGAGGUAGAGCACUGAAAGGGAUACUGUGGCUUCGGCUAGGUGUCUCUAUCAAACUCCGAAUGCCAAAAUAUAUGCAGAGGGAGUCAGACAGUGGGAGCGAAGUUCCAUUGUCGCGAGGGAAACAACCCAGAUCGUCAUCUAAGGUCCCUAAAUCUAAACUAAGUGUUAGUAAGGAGGUGAAAUUUCUCAGAUAGCUAGGAGGUUAGCUUAGAAGCAGCUAUCCUUUAAAAAGUGCGUAACAGCUUACUAGUUAAGAGAUUUUGCGCCGAAGAUUUCCGGGACUCAAGUUUAGUACCGAAGAUACGACUUGGUAUUUUUAAUACCAGGGGUAGGGAAGCGUUCUUAUUGCACUGAAGCUAAACCGUGAGGUUUGGUGGAGCGAUGAGAAGUGAGAAUGUUGGCAUGAGUAACCACAAUUGAAGUGAGAUUCUUCAACACCGUAAAUCCAAGGUUUCCUUGGCAAUGUAGAUCAACCAAGGGUUAGGCGGGCCUUAGGAGAAGCCGAAAGGUUUAUCUGAUGGACAGCCGGUUAAUAUUCCGGCCCUCUAACAUUUUUCUGAAGGGUGACGCGAUUUAGUAACUUGAGCGGAUUAUUGGAUUUCCGUCGACUAUUUAAGGGGCAACCCAAGAAUAGGAGCGUAGCUUAUCCUCGGAUAAGUUAAGUCAAGUGAGCAAGUCGACAAGAAAAGCCCGCAAGGUUAAAAAUGUUAGAUCCGUACUAAAACCGACACAGGUGGAUGGGCACAAGUGUGCCAAGGUGAACAAGUGAAAGAUCCUGAAGGAACUCGGCAAAAAAGUGAUCGUAACUUAGGAAUAAGAUCCGCCUUUCUUUGCAAAAAGAAAGGCCACAGCAAGCGUGUCUCUAGCGACUGUUUAUCAAAAACACAGGUCCCUGCUAAUUCGUAAGAGGAAGUAUAGGGGCUGAGGCCUGACCAGUGCCGGAGUGUUAAAAGUGGCGGUUGCCUCGCUCUUGUUUCAUAAAACGAUCCUGAGUUCUUUUUAGUAGUUUGAUUAGUUAAGAUAAUAAUAAUUUAAUGUGUCUUUUUAAAAUAGGUAAGACAUAUUGCGAUAUUAAGGAACUCAGGGAUUGUGUUCGUGAAUCGAGAGCGGGGCAGCUGACUGCUCCAAGCCUCCGGUGAACGUCCGCGGUAACUCUGACCGUGUUAAAGUAGCGUAAUCCCUUGUCGGGUAAGUUCCGACCCGCAUGAAAGGCUUAACGACUGGAGAACUGUCUCCAGGAUCUGCUUGGUGAAAUCGCAAUAGAGGCGAGAAUGCCUCUUACCUGUGGCUAGACAAGAAGACCCCAGGAGCUUUACUAUAUCCUGGCAUUGAAUUUUGGUAAUAAUUGCGUAGCGUAGGAGGGAGACUUUGAAGCUAUCUUUUCGGGGAUAGUGGAGUCGCCAAUGAAACACCUCUCUUUUAAUAUCAGGGUUCUAACUUUACUAUCUGAGAAGGGUAGUAGAAGACAGUGCUUGGUUGGUAGUUUAAGUGGGG